rnacentral:rRNA from 1 species
UCCUACGGGGGGCUGCAGUAGGGAAUCUUCCGCAAUGGACGAAAGUCUGACGGAGCAACGCCGCGUGAGUGAUGAAGGUUUUCGGAUCGUAAAACUCUGUUGUCAGGGAAGAACAAGUGCCGGAGUAACUGCCGGCACCUUGACGGUACCUGACCAGAAAGCCACGGCUAACUACGUGCCAGCAGCCGCGGUAAUACGUAGGUGGCAAGCGUUGUCCGGAAUUAUUGGGCGUAAAGCGCGCGCAGGCGGUCUCUUAAGUCUGAUGUGAAAGCCCACGGCUCAACCGUGGAGGGUCAUUGGAAACUGGGGGACUUGAGUGCAGAAGAGGAAAGUGGAAUUCCACGUGUAGCGGUGAAAUGCGUAGAGAUGUGGAGGAACACCAGUGGCGAAGGCGACUUUCUGGUCUGUAACUGACGG